GAGGGCAGGCAGCAGUGGCACAAACCAAGAACGGUACACAACAAGGCCUGGGAGAGAAAAUUACUGUGAUGUCCACAAAACCAAAGCAGAGAAGGAACACACUAUACAAAGACAACAGUGGAGAGUUGCUGGAUCUGUCUGUCCUCAAAGUGCCAGAGAUCUACAAGGACUCACCCCUGUU